CCGGCUCCUCUGCCAUUGCAUUCACCAGAACUAGUCACGUGGCCACGCCCGCCUUCACAGGGCGGAAGGUGAAAUUCCGUGUGCUUAGCAGAGGACAAUUCAAACGGGUGUCCAGCAGAGAUGGUCAGGACCUCAGCCCGCAGCUAUGAGAAGGGGUCCUCCGGGUGGAGGGAAGAGUCUAGCCCCGCAGGCGAGGCGGGGAAGCAGAGGCGUGCUUCCAAGACGUCCAGAGGCGCGAUCAGGAUAUAUAUGAUCACAUUUUAACUUAGUCUGCAACAUGUACUGAAUAAAAAGAAGAUAGUGCAAAGCAAUUCUCCAACACAGUAAAAGGAAUCCUGAAUUUUCUCUUUAGUGAUGCUACACAUACUUACUUUGG
rnacentral:lncRNA from 1 species